UAGGGAAUCUUCGGCAAUGGACGAAAGUCUGACCGAGCAACGCCGCGUGAGUGAAGAAGGUUUUCGGAUCGUAAAACUCUGUUGUUAGAGAAGAACAAGGACGUUAGUAACUGAACGUCCCCUGACGGUAUCUAACCAGAAAGCCACGGCUAACUACGUGCCAGCAGCCGCGGUAAUACGUAGGUGGCAAGCGUUGUCCGGAUUUAUUGGGCGUAAAGCGAGCGCAGGCGGUUUCUUAAGUCUGAUGUGAAAGCCCCCGGCUCAACCGGGGAGGGUCAUUGGAAACUGGGAGACUUGAGUGCAGAAGAGGAGAGUGGAAUUCCAUGUGUAGCGGUGAAAUGCGUAGAUAUAUGGAGGAACCCAGUGGCGAAGGCGGCUCUCUGGUCUGUAACUGACGCUGAGGCUCGAAAGCGUGGGGAGCAAACAGG
rnacentral:rRNA from 1 species